rnacentral:rRNA from 1 species
CUGGCUCAGGAUGAACGCUGGCGGCGUGCUUAACACAUGCAAGUCGAACGGAGUUGUUUACGGAAGCUUCGGGUGGAAGUAAACAACUUAGUGGCGGACGGGUGAGUAACGCGUGGGUAACCUGCCUUAUACAGGGGGGAUAACAACCGGAAACGGUUGCUAAUACCGCAUAAGCGCACAGUGCUGCAUGGCACAGUGUGAAAAGAUUUAUCGGUAUAAGAUGGACCCGCGUCUGAUUAGCUAGUUGGUGAGGUAAUGGCUCACCAAGGCAUCGAUCAGUAGCCGGCUUGAGAGAGUGAACGGCCACAUUGGGACUGAGACACGGCCCAAACUCCUACGGGAGGCAGCAGUGGGGAAUAUUGCACAAUGGGGGAAACCCUGAUGCAGCGACGCCCGCGUGAGUGAAGAAGUAUUUCGGUAUGUAAAGCUCUAUCAGCAGGGACGAAAAAGUCGUAAGACUUUCUGACGGUACCUGACUAAGAAGCCCCGGCUAACUACGUGCCAGCCGCCGC